rnacentral:rRNA from 1 species
AGCGGCGGACGGGUGAGUAACACGUGGGUAACCUGCCUCAAAGAGGGGAUAGCUCCGAAAGGAGAUUAAUACCGCAUAAUAUUGGAUCUCGCAUGGAGACUUAAUUAAGGAGUAAUCCGCUUUGAGAUGGACCCGCGGCGCAUUAGCUAGUUGGUAAGGUAAUGGCUUACCAAGGCGACGAUGCGUAGCCGACCUGAGAGGGUGAUCGGCCACAUUGGAACUGAGACACGGUCCAGACUCCUACGGGAGGCAGCAGUGGGGAAUAUUGCACAAUGGGCGAAAGCCUGAUGCAAGCAACGCCGCGUGAGUGAUGAAGGCCUUCGGGUUGUAAAACUCUGUCUUCUGGGACGAUAAUGACGGUACCAGAGGAGGAAGCCACGGCUAACUACGUGCCAGCCGCUGC